CAAAUUAAAAUUUAAUAUAAUUAUUUUAUUUACAAUAAAAUAUUAGCUUUUAGUUAAGCUUAAUUUGA
rnacentral:tRNA from 1 species